rnacentral:rRNA from 1 species
UUUUACGGAGAGUUUGAUCCUGGCUCAGGACGAACGCUGGCGGCGUGCUUAACACAUGCAAGUCGAACGAUGAAGCCCAGCUUGCUGGGUGGAUUAGUGGCGAACGGGU